rnacentral:lncRNA from 1 species
UGUCAGCAGGGCCCCUUUGGGAUCGUAUAAACUUACUCAGCUCCAAAUACAGCCUAGUACCUGCUCUGCAUUCAAGAGGACCAUUUUCUCCCACAUGAAGUCCUAUGGAUACAGGAACUUCUCAAACCAGUGUCAAGUUUUCAUUGCAAGGAAGUAUCAGCAGUGGUUAAGGUAAGAAAGUUUCUGCUUUUAUUGAAAAUUUAUAUAUGACUCAGUAUUGUAAUAAAUAAACAGAUAACCAUUUUCACACAAAAAAUGACAGUGCUAUGCUAGAGAAGAAAAUAUUAAUUGGGGGACUUACUCAUAGUGGCAAGACAGACUUUUAUCAAUACAGAAUAAAUAUUAACAGCAUUCUUGAGCCAAUGUUGAGACCCAACAAAAUGUAGGAACCAAGCUAGAUGUAAUAAAUAAUUAUCCAGAGCAAAAGAUGGCGCAUUCUCAGAUGAUAAGACCGUCUUUGUAAACUGAUGCAUGUCAAUUAGCCCCAUCCUCACAGCUCACCUUCAAAUCACAGGACUUGUCUCAGGCUACAUUAAAGGGCCAUCCUCUAAGGAAAGCAGAGGACAGGAACUCUAUUAUCCUUACAGUGAAAUGCAAAACAACUGCAGAAAAUCCCACUGGUAAAUAGAACACAGUUUAAUAAGUAGAUUGAAUAUGAUCUAACUAUAAAAUUUAGGUAACAGAGUCAAGUGUUACAUAUGGCAGGACUGGAAAAAAAAUCAUUCAUGACAUUUUUCUUACCCCCACUUCCACCCCCCUCCCCACCAUUUAUGCUAUUAACACAACAACAACAACAACAACAACAACAACAACAAAAAUGUUCCAAAUUUUCCUCCCAUCAAAAACUGAGGGGAAAAUAAUAAGAGAAAGGUUUCUUUCUUUUUUCUUUGAACAGCCUCUUGAACACUCUCAAUACCAAUCACUCACAAGGUAUCUGUGCAAAUUUAUUUCACAUGAUUUCAAGAAAAUGAUUAACUCACACACACACAAAUCCUUAAACAAAGCUAUUUUGGAGUUUUGUAUAUUAUCUGGCAAAGAGGGAGGAAAAGGGGUGGGGGUGGUGGUAAAGAAGUACAAUCCAGCCCCGAAAAAAUGUUAAAAGUUUUAAAUCAACAACGAAUCUGACAUUUUCUGGUCGGGGGACCCAGGAUUAAAAUAUUGGGAGAUUCUGGUCCGGCUGCUAUUGAAGAACACAUUUCUCUUCUUUCUUGGCCAUCUUGCCUUUGUUUUGCUCCAGAGUUCGCUCCAAAUGCUCAUCUUCUUCUUCAGCCCUGGAAGUCAAACAGGAAAUACAUUUAUUUUUCUACGUGGAGGGCAGAGCUGCACUCCCCUCUCACCCCGCAAUCUGAGCCCCAGC